UCCUGAUCCCAGAGUGAUGCUUAAAAGUUAACUUCCAGUGUGUACACAAAAAGGAACUUUCCUAAGUUCUGAGCUUGGAAAAGAAUUGAAAAUAAGAAACAAGCUUGAGAUAUUUCCUCUUUAACAGUGGUUUCACUGAGCCACAGAUGGACUUUACCUCCUGAUGCUGGGACAUCGAGAUGGGGGAGACAGAACUCACACCAGCUAUUUGUAUUCUUAUGUGCUGCAGCUCCACUGAAAAGAAAAACCUACUAAAACAUUGUGAUUCAGAGCAAUUUCACGUUUCCUGACACUGUCAGUUAUAGUCACAUUUACUCAUCACCUCAUGCCUGUGAAUAAGGAAUCACUGCCUGGCAAGAUGGCUGUGCUGUUCCACAGGCUACCUACAGCUACAGAAUCAUUCUGCUGGGAAGACCUGGAACCAUCUGAACCAGAGAUGUUAUCCUAACAUUUGUGCCAGCAGAUCCCUACUGAAGCCAAAGGUCCUUCACUGGUGCAUAUCUUUUCAUUUCGCUUUAUGAGAACGUAUAUUAUCAAGCCAAUAUAGGUGGCUAAUCUUCUUUCUAUACUGUAUUUACUGAAACUAUUAUGUAGUGAUUUUUUUUCUUCUGUAAACAUGCAACUAAGAAUAUAAGCUUAGCAACCAGCCUGUAAUUAAAAUAUUGAAUUGCCAACAUAAAUUCGGCAUUCAAAAUCAAUAUAAAUCCAAAGUCCAGCGAUUCCUGACAGAAUUGUAUUAAUUUAAUAAACAGAAAACAUUGUGUCAAUCUUAUAGCUAUGGUACAUUAGAACAACCCACUUGCACACUGAUAAGCCACACCAG